GAUGAACGCUAGCGGCAGGCCUAAUACAUGCAAGUCGAACGGUGUCUUCGGAUAUAGUGGCGCACGGGUGCGUAACACGUAUGCAACCUACCUUACAUUGGGGGAUAGCCCUUCGAAAGGGAGAUUAAUACCGCAUAAGACAGUAGCUGGGCAUCCAGCAGCUGUUAAAGCUUUAUCGAUGUAAGCUGGGCAUGCGUCCAAUUAGCUAGUUGGUGAGGUAACGGCUCACCAAGGCAAUGAUUGGUAGGGGAACUGAGAGGUCAAUCCCCCACACUGGCACUGAGAUACGGGCCAGACUCCUACGGGAGGCAGCAGUAGGGAAUAUUGGGCAAUGGACGCAAGUCUGACCCAGCCAUGCCGCGUGCAGGAUGAAGGCGUUAUGCGUUGUAAACUGCUUUUAUACAGGAAGAAACGACUCUUGCGAGAGGCAUUGACGGUACUGUAUGAAUAAGCACCGGCUAACUCCGUGCCAGCCGCCGCAGUAAUAC
rnacentral:rRNA from 1 species